rnacentral:rRNA from 1 species
UACGAAGGGUGCAAACGUUGCUCGGAAUUAUUGGGCGUAAAGCGCACGUAGGCGGCUUUUCAAGUCGGAUGUGAAAUCCCUCGGCUUAACCAAGGAAGUGCAUCCGAAACUGGAAGGCUUGAGUACUUAAGAGGAUCGCGGAAUUCCCGGUGUAGAGGUGAAAUUCGUAGAUAUUCGGAAGAACACCAGUGGCGAAGGCGGCUCACUGGCCCGUUACCGACGCUCAGGCGCGACAGCGUGGGGAGCAAACAGG